rnacentral:rRNA from 1 species
UGGUGGAGUGAUUUGUCUGGUUAAUUCCGUUAACGAACGAGACCUCGGGGGGUUUGUUUGCGGUGGGUCAACUUCUUUUUGGGGAGUUGGUGAGGCGCGCGCGAGCGCGUCCAAGUUCCACCCUCCCAACACGACCGCCGGAGCGAUCCGGAGGAGGUGCGAGGCAAUAACA